CAGUAGCCACGGGAACACGAAGGGGGCUAGCGUUGCUCGGAAUGACUGGGCGUAAAGGGCGCGUAGGCGGAUGGCACAGUCAGAUGUGAAAUUCCCGGGCUUAACCUGGGGGCUGCAUUUGAUACGUGUUGUCUAGAGUGAGGAAGAGGGUUGUGGAAUUCCCAGUGUAGAGGUGAAAUUCGUAGAUAUUGGGAAGAACACCGGUGGCGAAGGCGGCAACCUGGUCCUUGACUGACGCUGAGGCGCGAAAGCGUGGGGAGCAAACAGGAUUAGAUACCCCAGUAGUCCCUGUCUCUUAUAC
rnacentral:rRNA from 1 species